rnacentral:rRNA from 1 species
GACGAACGCUGGCGGCGUGCCUAAUACAUGCAAGUCGAACGCUUCUUUCCUCCCGAGUGCUUGCACUCAAUUGGAAAGAGGAGUGGCGGACGGGUGAGUAACACGUGGGUAACCUACCCAUCAGAGGGGGAUAACACUUGGAAACAGGUGCUAAUACCGCAUAACAGUUUAUGCCGCAUGGCAUAAGAGUGAAAGGCGCUUUCGGGUGUCGUUGAUGGAUGGACCCGCGGUGCAUUAGCUAGUUGGUGAGGUAACGGCUCACCAAGACCACGAUGCAUAGCCGACCUGAGAGGGUGAUCGGCCACACUGGGACUGAGACACGGCCCAGACUCCUACGGGAGGCAGCAGUAGGGAAUCUUCGGCAAUGGACGAAAGUCUGACCGAGCAACGCCGCGUGAGUGAAGAAGGUUUUCGGAUCGUAAAACUCUGUUGUUAGAGAAGAACAAGGACGUUAGUAACUGAACGUCCCCUGACGGUAUCUAACCAGAAAGCCACGGCUAACUACGUG